rnacentral:rRNA from 1 species
AGAUUGAACGCUGGCGGCAGGCCUAACACAUGCAAGUCGAGCGGUAGAGAGGUGCUUGCACCUCUUGAGAGCGGCGGACGGGUGAGUAAUGCCUAGGAAUCUGCCUAGUGGUGGGGGAUAACGUUCGGAAACGGACGCUAAUACCGCAUACGUCCUACGGGAGAAAGCGGGGGACCUUCGGGCCUCGCGCCAUUAGAUGAGCCUAGGACGGAUUAGCUAGUUGGUGAGGUAAUGGCUCACCAAGGCGACGAUCCGUAACUGGUCUGGAGAGGAUGAUCAGUCACACUGGAACUGAGACACGGUCCAGACU